rnacentral:rRNA from 1 species
GACGAACGCUGGCGGCGUGCUUAACACAUGCAAGUCGAACGAAGUGGCGGACGGGUGAGUAACGCGUAAGCAACCGGCCCUUCAGAGGGGGACAACAGUGGGAAACGACGCCUAAUACCGCAUACUGAAUGAGGGGUUGGUGUGUGAUUAGCUAGUUGGAGCGGUAAUGGCCCACCAAGGCGAUGAUCAGUAGCCGGUCUGAGGGGAUGAACGGCCACAGUGGGACUGAGGCACGGCCCAGACUCCUACGGGAGGCAGCAGGGGGGAAUCUUCCGCAAUGGACGAAAGUCUGACGGAGCAACGCCGCGUGAGUGAUGACGGCCUUCGGGUUGUAAAGCUCUGUUAAUCGGGACGCGGUACCGGAAUAGAAAGCCACGGCUAACUACGUGCCAGCAGCCGCGGUAAUAC